GAGAAAGGGAGUAAAACAAAACCCCACAUCAAAGUUAGCAGCUUUAAUUUUCUUCCUCU
rnacentral:tRNA from 1 species